GAGGAAAUUCUAGCGCUGCACUAGCAUUCCUGUGACCGCAAAUAGUCACAGAGAAGGUUAAGAAAGCUAAAGGAUAGAAUGCUUUAGUGUAGAAAAGCAGCUAGUUCGUAGCUAGGGGUGGUGGGUAGGUUAUCACUCUCUGUUCUCUUCUAGUAUUGCAGAGGAACAACUUCAACGGAGAGGAAAACAGUCUCUUCUUAAGGGAGCAAAGAAAAUACUGAGGCUUUUAUAAAGCUGAGGGGGGAGAUGGAGCACCUUUUUACAGGUGCCAAGUUCUCCGCGAGUGUGGGAUGGGGGAAGUUGCUGGAGAAGUUGGGGCUGGCGGACAAAGUGAAGCCUUUACAAGCUAAAAAGAAGUGGGACAAUUUUUAAAAAAUUAUAAAGUAGGAUUGCAAGUACCCAGGGAGUGGUGAGGGGGUUGGGGGGAAACCCACUGCAGAAACUUGGCCCUGGUUUGUCCUCAUGGAUGAGGUUUUAGGACAGUGGCCAUCCAUUCAGCCUCCUGUCCUAAUCGCCUCAAUCCCUGAGGACAAACCAGGGCCAAGUGGGGCUGGUAAUGAAGAGGAGGAGGAGGAGGCGGCUAGGCCUAGCAAGAAAAGGAAAGGGGACGACCUCAUGGAGCUCAUCAGGGAGGACAUGAGGCUGCAGAGGGAUGCUGAGGAGAGGAGGGAGAAAGACGGCAAGGAGAGAAUGGAGAGGCUCUUCUCUCUUUUGGAGAGACUGGUCGAAAACAG